CUUGUCCUCUGCUGCUGUAAGGGCAGAUUUCCCUCCCCCCUGAAGACUGCUCAUGGCUGGAGCUGUCCUGAUUAUCUCACCAUGGGGUCUCUUCAGAGGGAAUUAUGUCUCUGCAGGUGUUGGUCACACAGAUAGAAGAUGAUGACUCAUCUGUCACUUAACCAUCAGAUCAUCCUAGUUAACAGACCAAUGAAAAGCUUGAUCCAGGCUGAAAUGGAGCACCAUGUCUGCAGCCUGAAUGACUCUAUAGAAGGGAAAACACCAAUGAAGAGUAUUGAGAAUGUUUUGGGCUCUACUUCCUAGUGGUCAUGGGGAAUAUUUCUGUCAUGAUGUCCAUUUUCUUUUUCAUAUGCUUCUAUUUUGGCUCCAGUCAUCAGCCAGUGCUUGACUUGGAGAACCAAGCCAGAGCCACACAUUUCUCGGCUUGCCCAACUGUAUAACUAUCAUAAUGCCCUAUCACAGGUAAGACCUGAUGAACUACAGAUGGAAUCCCAUCACCUGAGUUCUUGGGUGUAAAGCCACUUGUCGCAUUGGCCUUACAGUCACGUUUUGAGGUAUCCCUAUUUCAGGUGAACCAAUCAUCAUGAAGAAGUUAUACCAGGCUGUCACAGAUCUAGCUGAGCUUCCCCUCUUGGACACUCAGUGUGCUGUGAGGAGAUCCCCACGCUCAAUCCCCAUGUGCUUUAAGCCUCAGAGUCUGAACACAGUCCUGACACUGCCCCCGGCUUGGGGCCUCUAGGCAGCUCCUCUGUCUAGCACUCCCUCCUAAGAACUGAGACCUUGCAGUCCAACUGCUGAGCCCCCGUGACAAGUGAUGAACCCCCUAUCUUAAACCCAUCCUCUCCCAGAACUCCAGUGUGUGGAUGUUCUGCGUUUCUAGUCUACCUCUUCAGGGACAUGUGAUAGGUGAAACACAUAAAGCACAGCCAUACUUCGGACAGGAUUCUAAAACGCCAUUGCUCUUAGUAGCAUGAGAAAUAUGCAGAUCUAGACUAAAAUACUAAACUCCACCCACAUUUCCCUGCCUCAGUAUACUCACCACUCUGGAGUAUUCUUUGAAUUGGGGACAGAGUCAUCUGGCUUAUCCAAGAUCCUUGUCUUGCAGCACAUGGCUUGUCUUCUGAACUAUGGAGCCUCCUUCUCCCUCCAAGUUGGGUUGCUUUGACUUUGGUCCCACAGCUAAACCAGCCCCCACCCCACUGCUGCAAAAGUAUGCUCACCCCUUCUCCUCUCCUGCCCAAAGUUUGCUGUCCCUCAUAAAGCCUUCCUCCUGUGGGUCCCUUUUAAAGCUCUUGCUUUCUCACUUCUGUCUUUGCCCGUUUGGGACUUUUCCACUCUCUCCACUUCACCAGCCCCUUGCAGAGACACUUGGUCGACCUGGUUUCUCAACUUGGACACCCUCCUUAGCAUACCCAUUGUUCAGUGCAGAGCACAGUUGUUAAAUUUCAUGACUCUCCAUUGUCCCUAGUCUAGUGAGUAUGAGCUAGAGACUGUGUCACUUAGACACAUUUCAGAACAACUUCAUAAACAUCAUCCAGAAUUCAUAAGCUGUGCAGAUUCUCUAAAUCAUCACAACCAAUUAUCAUGCAGAAGCUAUACAAGCCCAAACACCAAUUCAGUUAUAAGUCUCAAGUCAUGGGAGCAGAAAUAUCCCCGAAAAUUUUGCAUUCGUUAAAUGAAAAUAAUCAGCAAAUGGGUUAUAAUUGAACUAUUAUGUUUAAUGAGAGAGGUGAAGUAGUUGGAGCAUGGCAGAGUGAUAAAAUAAACUAUCAA